UUACCCGACGGUAGUCGAGGUCCCCGACCGGGGGAGGGGGCAAUGUCCCCGGCAGGAAAAAAUUGGGCGUGUUCGGGCGUCGCUCAACUCUUUUGAAAGUGUUCCUGUGGUUAAAGAUUUCCCACACGAAUGAAAAACAGACGAGCAGUACUAGGUUGUUCUGAUCAUCGGAUUUGCGCUAAUUGUCGACGUAACCGCCGAUAUCGAGGAAGCGUGCAGCGUAUUCCGCUAUUACCACUAUGACUGCAAAAUUCCAUGGCAGUUUUACACAUUUGUGGUGUUUACAAUCCUUGUCGCAAUUCUGACGUUGGUUACUUUCUUUGCUCAUCUUGUUAUGCCUGCUUGGAUGAACCCGAUUACAGCAAAAAUCGCAUAUUCGGAACUUGCGUCCUGUGUUGUAUCAGCUGUUCUGGUUCUAAUUGUUUCUUCAUGCCUAGCGUCCAAGAUCAUAAUAGGACUUGAUAAGCAAGUCACAGGCUGUGUGUUCGGUUUCAUAGCAUUUGGUCUGCUGUUGGCGGAAUGUGCUUUCCUGUAUCAAACAGCAAGAUCUACUUUGGUAUAAAUUGGCGACUUUUCAGGACACAUUUGAACAGAUACCGUGUAGGCCUAGUUGAUAUUCCACUUGCGCUUAAUUUUUAUUUAAAUGCUACGCUUUUUAUUUAUUUGGAUUUAUAAAGUGCUUUUCACAGAGACCAAACUGCUGUACAAAAAUAUAUAACGUAUUUACAGUUUUAUACAAUUCGAAGCACAUAAGAAUACUGUUUGCCGAGCACUCGAUGUCGACAAAUCGAACCGCUUCCAGUCACGGCGCACACUGCGUCAUACGACCGUCGAAGGCAACGGAUCCAACUCCACUCCCCGUGAGUGUUAGACGACGCGACACCGUCUGCUGAUUGUCCGUGGCAGUCUGAACUGAACGGAUAAUUAAAAACAAUCCGUUGAAGUGCAAUCGUCGGUCGACGCGAUUCUAUGGAGAACGAACGUCACGACUUACGCGCAACGGAUUGUUUAUAAUGACGAUCAGCUCAAACUGUUACCGACAAUCAAUCAAUUAGUCAAUCAACCAAUCAACAAGGAUUAAUAUUCACGGCAGAAUGUGAUGUUCAGUGGCGCUAUGGCAGUCGGAUUUACUGUGAAGUUAAUUAAAGCCCCAUUCCCGGCAAAAUUUCAAUUUUUUUUUUAAAUCUAAUUUUUGUAUAAUGUUAUAAAGAUUUAUAAAUAUAAUCCGGAAUUGCUAGUUUAACUGAAUUUAGACAUUCCUAAGAA